CCUACGGGAGGCAGCAGUGGGGAAUAUUGCGCAAUGGGCGAAAGCCUGACGCAGCGACGCCGCGUGAGGGAUGAAGGUCUUCGGAUCGUAAACCUCUGUCAGCAGGGAAGAACGGUCACUGUGCUAAUCAGCAGUGAAUUGACGGUACCUGCACAGAAAGCACCGGCUAACUCCGUGCCAGCAGCCGCGGUAAUACGGAGGGUGCGAGCGUUAAUCGGAUUUACUGGGCGUAAAGCGCACGUAGGCGGUAUGUCAAGUCAAGGGUGAAAUCCCUGGGCUCAACGUGGGAACUGCAUUUGAAACUGGGAAACUGGAGUGGGUGAGAGGAGAGUGGAACUCCAGGUGUAGGAGUGAAAUGCGUAGAUAUAUGGAGGAACAUCAGUGGCGAAGGCGACUAUCUGGUACAUAACUGACGCUGAGGAGCGAAAGCGUGGGUAGCAAACAGGAUUAGAUACCCGAGUAGUC
rnacentral:rRNA from 1 species